rnacentral:sRNA from 1 species
AAAAACAAAGAUGCCGCAGAAAGCAGGCGCCGCAAGGCUUAAUUUCCUGCCGAGGUGUUAAGGUUUGAAAAAAGAUUAUCCAAAGAUUUAUUCUUUUUUGAUGUCCUUAUGCCGUGCGGCGUAAGGGCUUUUUAAAUUCUU